ensembl:antisense Gm28379 predicted gene 28379
CAAACUUUGCACUAGCCUUAACUGGGAAUUUAGAGGUCAUCUGACAAAUAUUCUAACAAAGAAAGUUACACAGUUCUAAGAUUCUACUGGCAUUCCAAAACACUUCCCAAUUGAUGAAACUGCAGACAGCUUAAUAGAGUAAAUGCUUUCAGAAAAAAAGAAGUUUAUUCUCUAUGUAUCAGGUGGUGGGGGGUAUAAUCUGUCUACUCUCAACUGUCCAUAUGCACAACCAAUUAUACAUAAACCACACUAAGUUAACUUGAGUUCAUGUAUUUCAUAUUAUGGCAAUUUCAAUUGUACUUUGACAGUGUUUCACACAAACAAAAGAAUAUGUGACAAAUAAGACUAUGGAAGGAGAUCAUUUGAUAAAUACUGUAGAAAGUCUUCACCUAUUGCAAAUAUAAACACAUACAAAUGUACCCAUGUGUAGGUAAAUAUAUAUUGUCUUAUCUGUCCAUACAUACACAUCAAUUGAAAGUGCUAGGUCUCAGACAUUUUAUGCUGAAUAAACCAAAUCAUCCAACUAGUCUCCCAAAGACUGUGUUAUGAAAUGUUUUCAUCACAUGUACUUUUGUGUAAGAAGAAAUUAAUCUCACCUCAAAAAUAGAAAUAGCUAUUUCUCUUUACCUGAGCUGUCUUUAUCUUUUAGACACUGAAUUGUAUAAUAUAUAUUUCUGCGUGGUGGCUCCUUUCUACUUAGAGAAUACCUAGUAAUGCAUAAAUAAAUCUUACUACCUUUUGGUCUAGUCUUUUCUUAGUAUUCAUUCAUGUAGAUUGCCCGUUUGUAAAGUAUUUGCUAUAUGCUAAAUAAUCCUUUUAGUUCUGAAGAAGCUAGGUAAUAGCAUUAAGAAUAAGCCACAAAAUAUUGAUAAGAAUGACAUUCUGAACUCAAAUAAUUCAACGAAUGUCAAUCAAAUAUGGUUUGAUAUUUUUGGUUCACUAAGACAGUGAAAAUAAUUCAUUAUAAAAUAGAUGUUGCAAAAGAAGGCUCAAAGAUUUAUCACUAAACUAGUUACCUUUGUUUAUUUGAAACAAACUUCUAUUUCAUUCACUAACAACCUAAGGGCACUACUAGACAUAUAAGAAUAAUGGGUUACCACCCAAUAAAACAGUACAAGAGAAGAAAUUACAAGAGAAAGAAGAAACCACUAUUACAUGAGCUAAGAUUCGAGUGGACUCAUCCAGUAGUCUAAGCAAGAGUUAAAUCUAUGAAUCUGGACCUCAGGAAUAAGUCAGGACUAAAGACCAAAACUGUUGACAAGUGUAAUAUAGGCAUAUUAUUUCUAUCAUAAAUCUUUCAAGUUUGGAUAUGCCUAAAACAAGUGUAAACAACUCAACCCAAAAACUUUAUAUAUCUAUAACUUGAAAGCAAGAGUCCUUCUUUAGAUAUACCUACCAGUGCAUAACCCUCUUCAUCUGAUUCAGGCUGAGACAGAUCAGAUUCACUCCUUGAUUUGAUCAGUCUGUAACUUGGACUUGCAUGAACUAGGCGGCUCUCAGCAGUGAGACUUUCACUCCUGUCUCACAUACACAAAGAAAAGUUUUUUGGUUGGGGACUGUUAGUGAACAUAAAACUGAAUGGAACUAGCAACACAAAGACAAAGUACAGUGAAAUCAUUAUGUCUGCCCAUAGAAAGCUUGGCUCACGUAAUAAAUAAAGCCCUUUGGAAUUACAUCAAGUAUUUUUAUACGGUUACAUUACAGAAAGAUAUAAGUAAUUUUUGGAUGUUUGUUAACUGUGGCUGUUUAUAUGUAUGGAAAACUUCCUCCUCAUGGAACCAGAAAUUCACAUUCCGGGCUGAACCAGCACUACUGUUUAUUUUCAAUUCAUUCUGGUCAACUUGCAUUCCUUCCUCUGUCUGUGACACUACCAAACAGAGACUGUAAGAAGUACCGCAGGGAGGAGAACAGCAUUUUCAGUUUCCAGUCAGGCCCACCUGGUCAUAAGUCCGGUGCCUUCAGAGGCACUCACAGAAGGCUGCUGUAACUGCCCUUCUUCCCUUCGCUUCUGAAGCUCAUCAAUCACAGGACUUACUCCUAAUAUUAGGAGCGCACAGCGGUGGAUCACAGAGUUGCAGGCAGCAGUGUACACAUCCUGCCCCUCAGGAAGGUCUGUGCUGACCCGUCGUUCCUGCUGAGACUGUGGAGGUGGGUCAUCAGCUCGGACCCCAGACCCUGCCCCACUGUUCAUUCUAUCUCGGUCUCGGCUACGAGCUACUUCUCGGGCUGAGAGGAAACACUGAAAGAUUUCUGUAACAUGCAACACAAAAACAAGGUCUUAACACAUGGGGGGAGAAAAGCAAAGAAAAUAACAAUGAAAAUAGUCAAAAAGUUUGAACCAAAACUUAGUGAAACAGGGAAAAAUCAGUUUUUAGGCAAGAAAUAUAGCAUAGUAAGAAAGUUACAGUAAAUGUCAUGCUUUUGAUAAAAACUGCAAUAGGAAAUGUGCUUAUACCUCACAGAAUUUGGAUUUGGAUGGUUCCACCUUGAAAGAGAGCUGUGCCAUCUUAAAACAUGUCAAAUUGGUAAACUGACUUAGGUGUAAUCACGUGAGAUCUGUGACUUUGGGAAGGGCCAUUUGGCCUGUCUUUUCCUCCAUGAAGCAAGUCAUGUAGCCUCUUUUAAAAGGAUACAUCCUUUUAGGAUCACAGCUAGAAAAUAGCUUUAACCCUCAAAGACUGCUAAUGGGGCUGCCAAGUCAGGCUAAGCAAACUCUCUAAAGUGACCAUCUGCCCUGUUUCCCAGAUUUCCUUACAACAUCUUGGAAUUUUCCCCUAUUCUAGGUAUCCACCUGUCCAGUCAUUUCUUAAAUUAAUCAUUCUUUAUUGACAAGAUAUAAAAGCAUCAAGCUUUAGUAAUUUCUUUUCAAAUUCACUUUCUUAUGAGGAUCCCCAUGUGCAUACAA